rnacentral:rRNA from 1 species
UGAGGAAUAUUGGUCAAUGGGCGCAAGCCUGAACCAGCCAUCCCGCGUGAAGGAAGAAUGCGCUACGCGUUGUAAACUUCUUUUCCAGGGGGAGAAUUUUCCUGUCGAGACAGGGAUUGACGGUACCCUGGGAAUAAGCAUCGGCUAACUCCGUGCCAGCAGCUGCGGUAAUACGGAGGAUGCGAGCGUUAUCCGGAUUUAUUGGGUUUAAAGGGUGCGUAGGCGGAUUGAUAAGUCAGUGGUGAAAUUCUGCAGCUUAACUGUAGACUUGCCGCUGAUACUGUUAGUCUUGAGUGUGGUCAAGGCAGGCGGAAUGUGUAAUGUAGCGGUGAAAUGCUUAGAUACUACACAGAACACCGAUUGCGAAGGCAGCUUGCUGGGUCAUUACUGACGCUGAGGCACGAAAGCGUGGGGAUCAAACAG